AUAAAUGUAAUUGUCUUUGCUAAUCAUAGCGCACGUUAUAUUCCGGUUCGAGUUUUCGUGGUUGUUUGCCCUAGCUUCUGAAAAGUUAUUUUAGGUCAAAAAGUAAUUUUUAGCUCAAUAGAAUGUUUGGCGAUCUCGUUUUUAAAAUCUGAUUCUAAUUUUUAGAAUCGGUUUUUGAUUUUCGAGGCCCAAAAUCAUAAGCAGCUAAACCUAUUUCUUGAAAAUUGAUUCUGAUUUUGGUUCCAAACUUCAAGUUUUUACUUUGAUUUUGGAUUCAAAUUUUAAUUUUAAAUUCACAUUUUAAUUUUAAAUUCUAAAUUUAUACUUAAAUUUUUAAAUUUGAAAUUUUAACUUUUGAAUUUCAAAAUUCAAAAUUUAAAAUUUCAAUCUAAAAUAUUAAAUUUCAAGUUCAAAUUUCAAAUCUCAAAUUUUAAAUUUUAAAUGUCAAAUUUUAAAUUUAAUAUAAAUUUUAAAAUUUAAAAUUAAAACUUAAAACUUAAAACUAAAAAUUUAAAAUUUAAAAUUUAAGUUUUAAGUUUUGAGUUUUAAAUUUGAAGUUUUAAAUUUCAAUUUAAUUUAAAUUUAAAUUUUAAAUUUUAAAUUUGAAACUAAAAGUUUAAAUUUAGAUUUAACAAAUUAAAUUUAGAUUUAACAAUUUAAAUUUUAAAUUUUAUAUUUUCAAAUUUCAUAUUUUAAAUUAAGAUAUCAAAUUUUAAAUUUUUGUGCCAAUUUUAAAUUUUAAUUUUAAUUGAAAUUUUAAAUUAUUUAAAAUAAAGUUUAGUACAAAAAAUAUUAUAUGCAAGCAUUAAAAAUUUUUGCCAAACAGUUUUACACAAUCACUUCUGAAAAAUUAUUUUUAUCUAAACUCAGCCAAAUACUUUACAAUUUUUAAUAAAAAUAAAAUUAAUUUUUUAAAAAUUAUUUUUUCAGAAUCUAAUCCAAAAGAAUCCUUAAUCCGAUGCAUGUUUGAGUUUAAAUCCGACUCAUAGCAUAGGACUCGAGGCAGUUUGGAAUUGGAUCAGAUUACAUAAUCAUAAAACUAAACCAACAACACUCGAGUCAAUCUUAGCCCUCCAAUUUUGCUUGGACGGCACGAAUCCUCCCUUUUCUUUGACGUAUAUAUUAGUGGGGUGAAAACCCUAGACCGCAACGAAACCCUCCUUUCCGCUCAACCCUAACCGGCUUAACCCCGCGAGUCCCCCCUUAUCCCCGAAAGAGACUGGGGUUUUCUCCCACCGCCGAACUCCUCGUCGUCGUCGUCUUCCUCCUCGGAUUCGCUCCCUCGAAGAUCGCCGCCAUUAACGGCGUAGCGAAGCCCUCCUACCCGUAGGGUUUCUCGCGUCGGAUUCCUGAACCUUGCACUAACUCUCUUCGCGGAAGCUUUUCGACGCCUCUCGAUCCGUCUCUUGUAAGAUCCGGUUCUUUACUGUUUUCGUAUGCUCGAUGGCUUGUUCCCCGCCAGUUUUGAGAAUUUUGGGAGAAAUUUCGGUUUUUCUUGUGCAAUUUAUGAUCCGCUAAUUUUUCGUAUUAUUUUUUUAUGGAAUAGCGAUUUAUCAUUUCUCAUAAUUUUUAGUUGGCCCUAGUUCACAUUUUUCUCUGGAUAGUUCCAUUCUCUUUGUUGCAAAAGUUUGGAGUAUCUAGAAUAGUGUUAGAAUUCUUUGGUUGUUAAGAUAUUGCUCAGUUAGCACUUAGGUCGAUUUUAGUCCUCAAUUUAUUUUUAGUAAUUGCUGAAAUGUUUGGCCAGAUUCAAUUUAAACAUUUUUCUUCACUUGGAUGUAGUUAUAAUUCGUAAAAUUUGUGAUGGCAAUUGUUGAAACAAGCUGGUAGUGUGGCAAAUUAGGUUGUAGUUUGUUUGAAGAAAUUGAUACUUUUAAUAGCGAUCUAACAAGGUUGCCUUCGCCACAGUUAUUUGGUGGUCUUUGCCGUUUGGAAUGCUGUCGAAGUGUUUAAUGUUGCAUUCUUGUGUUUAUUUGCAUGUUCAUGGAGUUUAUGUAGUUCACAGAGAGUCUAGCUAUGAGUAUGUUGUUUUCUCUUUCAGACUUGUUUAGUGCAUCAAUUUCUGCAAAGAUGUCGCGUAAAGGUUUGAUGGAGCAGGAUUUAAGCAAGCUUGACGUGACAAAACUGCAUCCGUUGUCUCCGGAAGUUAUUUCACGUCAAGCAACGAUAAAUAUUGGUAAUUUUUCUAUUUAUACAUACUCUGAUUGCUUGUCAUUUAAUAAUUUAGCAGGGCUAUAUAGGUGUUUGGAAUGUUUCUGCCAGUUUUUUAAGAUGCUAACCAAGAAAAUAUUAGAUGGUCAACCAGAAUAAUUGGAACCCAUGCAUGGCAUAUUGCAAUAAUAAUAUGAGUACAUUGUGGGAGUACAAAAAAGUUAUGUUUCUGAUCAACCAGUGAAUUUCUGUUCUUAAUUCUUAAAGUUAUAAAUUUGCUAGAAGCUAGCAAAUUGGGAGGUGAAAUGUUUAGGACAAGAAGCGUCGUUACUCUCGGUUGAUUUUUUGCCACUGUAGUUUUGCCACUGUAGUUUUUCUGCUCCUGAAAACCGAUCUUCUUUUCCACAAAAUAAACUGUCUUUAUAUUAUUUUCCUCCUAACUCCUUAUUUGAAUUUUUUAUGCAGUCAUCAUCAUUUUCUAUUACGAAGAUAUCUUUGAUCAACUAUUGUGAAGAAGAAUUGGUCGAACAUAAUUUUGUGUCUAAAGGUUUUCCCAAGUAAUGAACACCUUAAAGUGUUUUUCUAUCUCACGAAACUCAUGUUCCUUGAUUUUUGUCAUCUCAAUACAUAGAAGAAAAGAACUUUUUUAUCUGCUUGUAUUGUAAUUUUUGGUGUGCAUUUAAUGUAUUUUCAAUACAGUGGAAAUUGUAAGUUAGUGCCCGAUUAUUUUCUUCUAGAAGUUGGACUGAAAAAUGUUGUAUGGAGUUUCUUUCUUUGUAUUCUUGCUGGGUAUGGAAAAUUUUUCUUUCGGUGAGCAUUUAAUUAGCUGCUAAAUGAUCUGUUGUUUCGUUGUAAUUAAUGAAAGUCGUAAAGAUGGUACAUUUGAGGUGCACUGGUUGAAUAUCUUUUAGCCUAAGAGGGAUUAUAGGCUAAUAUUUGUGUUCUUUCUUUUCAACUUAGGAUUAAGUGGUUACUUGUAAAUUGUGUUCAAUGCACAAAUAUUUAAAUUUUUCCCAUCAUGUUCUUCACAUGGUUUAUUGAGAAAGUUGCAGACGAUAUUUUUUUGUCAGAAACCAUCGACCAGCUAUCAUGUCUCUUUAAUUGGUGUAAUAUUCUAUCAAUGAUCUUCUUGUACUAGGAUGAUCACUUUUGUUGAGUGAGUCUGGACUAUGUUGGCUGAUAUAGUAGGCCAGAGUGUGUUUUGACUUUCAAGUGAUCACUUUUGUGUUGCCUACUCAAUGUAGAAGCAUUACGUUCUCCAAAAAGGAGAUUUCUACUCUACUUUACCUGCGGUAAUUACUAAUCGUUGGCAUAUGCUUCUAUGCCAAAAUUGGACGGCACAAAGUGAGUUGGGCGUGUUAGUUGCAUGUGGCUGUCUAGAUUUUUGUACAAGAAAAACUGUACUAACCUUCAAAAGACUUGUUAUGGUUAUGCAAUUUGUGGUUGAUGGGUACAUGUAUGCUCUUUUCUAUGGUGGUUUAUUUGUGUAGAUCUAUUUGGAGACAAGAAUAAUACUAUAUUAUAAUUUUCUUUAACCUUUAUCUAGACUUAAAAGUCGUAUGUUCUUAUGGCAUAUGUAUAAUGAAAGUGGUACAAUUAGUUUAAUUAGUUUGUGAAGCAGUGUCAUGAGAUCUAAAAGCAUUAAUGUAACUUGUGUAAAUAAUGCUCUUGCAUUAAUGUAACUUGUGUAAAUUUCUGUUGGAUGCUUUCAUUAUGCUUUUAGUGGUUUAACUAGCUUGAAUUUUAGUGGUGGUUUUUGUUAGUAGCUAUCACCUUUUGGUGUCCUGUGUUUCGCUCCGAUGCAAUUUCUAUCGUUAUUACUUGGGUUUGAUUCUUCCUACGUUAAAUGAAUAGGUACCAUUGGUCACGUGGCCCAUGGAAAAUCUACUGUCGUAAAAGCCAUAUCCGGUGUCCAGGUACUAUUGCAUUUAUUUUGGUGACAAUCUUUUGAUCUUUUUUUUUUUUAAUUAACACUUGAGGCUCCUUCUGCUAGGGGUGUGUUUGUUUCACUGAAAGUGGAGGGGUGAAGUGGUUUCGGCUGAAAAUGCCCACUUCUGUUGUUUGGUUACCGUAACUUUACCUUCAGCGGAAACUCAAAACUCCCCAAAAUAGUGCAAUUGACUUUGGCUCACUCCAAGGCCAAAGUCAAUUAUGGGGGGGGAAGUGAGGAAAAAAUAAUAAAAUAUUAACCCAUCUCUCACACCUUCAGCUUUUACGCUAUUCCCUUCUUGCCAAACAAACAAUAGAACUGGGGAACUUUAGUUCCCCAGCUAUACAAACAAACAGCGGAGUAGUUUUCAUCGGAACUCUAGUUCACCCGAAAGUCUACUUCAAUUUGAACUUAACGAAACAGGCCCUAGGUGCAUUCUUGUGAUUUGGACAUAAUCUUUUACUAAAAAAGUAAUUUUAGUUGCAUGUCAACUAAGAUGCAAAUAUGAGUUGUUCGAUUUGAUCAAAGAACAAAAUAUCAGAUAUCUAUAGAUUCACUUUAACAUUUUACAGGAGGUCCAUUAUUUAACUUUCAGUAUUUCUCAAAUGAGGUAAUUGAUGAAAAGUUUCUUGUCAGAUCUUGCAUGUGGAGAACUAUGAUCAAGAAAUAUUUUUUCCCCUUUUUUUUUCUUUGAUAUUUCUGGACUUUGUGCCCUUAGGUUGGGUUUUCUUGGUGGAUAGAUCGCCGGAGAUAGGUAGGCUUCCACACUACCUGAUCAAACAGAAUGUCAAUAGGUACUACUCCAAGCUAGAGUUUGCUAGGUUAAAUAUCCCAUGGCAGCUUUACCUACGAGGUAGAAGUUCUAUGAGGUAUAAUGGAAUUUGAAAUCCUCAUGUGUAAGACAUUUUGCACAGGUAAUCUGCUUUAUUCCCAACCAAACAUAGUGGGGGUAAAGGAUAGAACUGAAAUGCUCUAGAAGAAUACUUUUCACUAUCCCCACGAUAGAAGCCCCUCCAAAAAAUACUUUAGAUAUUUUCCAUGUUACAUGUAUUAGUUUGUCAUGAUAAGAUGGGGUAAUUAAGUGCCUAUUACUGUAUCACUUUUUCACUGAAGAUUUGAGAAUAUCGAGGCAGUGCCUUGGUUGAAAUACAAGUGAGAGAAAGAUGAAAAGUGUAUAAAAGGCUUUAGCAAGAAUGGGAAUGCGGAAAUCUGUAGUGGCACUAGCAAAAUAUAACGGAUGAUUCAUGGUUACCCAUUUCUUGGGCAAAUCCAUGAAGUUGAUGAUAUGAUGUUCAAUGGAUAUUGGAAUGGCAUAAUUAUAUAUAGAUUUAUAUACACAUCCAUUUAAAACAGACACAUAUAUGAAUAAAGAUAGAACUAAUCACAUUCAUCACGCAGUGCUUGCAAACAUGCAUACGCACAUGAUAAACAUGCAUGUCCGUAAAGAAAAUAUUCUUGCUACAGGCUAGUUUUUAGUUUUGAUCGAGUAACAAUGUUGCAACUUAUGUUAGUGUAUAUACCUACACAAGCAUCUCCAGUUUCUUCAGCAACAAAAGCUAAAUUGUCAUGAUAAAUUGACUCUAAUUUUCAAUUAGCUUUAUGAUUGUUAUUAUUUGUUGAUAUUUUGACCCUCUUUUGAAACUGUCUGAUAAAUAAUCCUAAAAAUAUAUUGACGGUAACCAGAUUUUUCAUUUUUUUCUGAUUGGAUAAAUAAAGCAGUAGCCAAUAGGUUUGCAUGAACUAUCCUACAAGUAUUGUAAGGUAUGCAAUAUGGAAACUGUUAGAGUAUCGAAGUAUUUGUGUAUCAUAAGGAGAUCUUCUUGAGCUGGUAAAAGUUCUAUUAUUGGCUGAGUGGAUUUCUUACCAAAAUGUUUGGUAAGUUUUGUUCAUUACCCUCUCUCCUCUUAGAUAUCUAACGUGGAUGAGUACAUGUAGCCUGAGAACGUAUCUCCUGCAUUUUUUCUGAGAGCUACCAACUACAUGUUCCUUUCAAACAUUGUGUUAUUAUAGUUUUUAAGUUAUGAUUGGUUCAUAGAACCCAUAAAACCAACUGAAUAGCUAGGCCAAGUUUCCUUGGUAGUUGGCAUAAUUUGUUAGUAAAAGCAUGUCUUGUUGCAUAAUUAUAUGGCUAUUUGCCUCCACCAUAUUGAUAAAAAGUCUUUCAUGUACUCCUUUUUCUCUAAUCUAUUUGAGGUUGCAUAAUUACGCUGCUAUUUGGAACUCAUAUUAAUAAAAUUGUGUUUUAUAUACUUUUUUUUCUGCUAAUUUAACUAAAUCUUGUUUCCACAUUCCUUACUUAGCCUUUUUUUUUGUGUUGCUUCCAGACAGUUCGCUUCAAAAAUGAGUUGGAGCGUAAUAUCACUAUUAAAUUGGGGUAUGCCAAUGCAAAAAUAUAUAAAUGUGAAGAUGAAAGAUGUCCUCGACCAAUGUGCUACAAGUAUGGUUACUGUCUAGGCUUCUGCACAAUAUUACUGCUAUAUCAGCAUUUUAGUACCGCAUUCUUUUGUAUUUGCUAGAUUAUAUAUAUGCAUUGAUAUGUGGAAUUUUAAUAUUACAAAAUAGAACGGGUAAAACAUGAGGAAGAUAAAGUAAGAAAUGCCAUACACAAACCAUGAGAUCUCUGUGAGAUCUUUUCAUGUUGACUACCUUGUCUUUAGAAUUCUUGUUAAAAGCCUUCUCAAUUCGUGUGGAGCGUUUUGCUUUUUCACUGUUGACAAGUUUAAUUUGUACUGUAUGCAGGGCUUACGGAAGUGGAAAAGAAGACAGUCCUCUCUGUGAUGUCCCAGGAUUUGAAAACACCAGAAUGAAGCUUUUGAGACAUGUUUCAUUCGUUGACUGUCCGGUAUGACAUCAUGUUGCUUUUUUUUUUUGCAGUUGAACUGAUCUCUUUAGUUUAAAAUGUUCUUUCAAAAUUAUUGUGCUAAUAAGAUGUGUCAUCUGGCCAUAUAUCACAUAUAUAUGUUGGUCAGAUUUGCUGUUUUGAUUUAAGUUCAGCCAACGGCUGCGGGCUGUGGAUUUUGUUAAUAGUCGAAGUACUAGUUGAUAAAGCCAUUAAUCCGAAUUUAGUAAAGAGAUUGUCAUCAGAAAAUGUCGAGAUUUCUUUUACAAAAGGCAAUAAAUAUUCUCUUUCAGAAUGCUUUUCUACGAAGUAAGCAUAACUCUUUUCUUCCUAUUUUCAUUUCUACUAUGGUUUCUCCCAAUACUUAGUAUCUUCAGUGCAGAUACUACAUUUAGUGGUUAUAGAAGGAACAGAAAGGGACAAAAAUUCAACCUUUGUACAACAGUUUAAUUUUUGUCCCUUUCUGUCCCUUAUCUCUAUAAUGAGCAAAGUGUCACUACUAGACAUGAAAAUCUUUCCCACGAUUUGCUAUUCAAGUUAUUAACUAUAUAAUGCAGACAUGUAUAUCUGAUACUGUAUCAGAUAUAUCUUGUGAAUUUUAAUCAUGCAUGCCAAUGUGGAAAUUUCCAUUUUCUUUUUCAUUUUUUAUCGGAGGGGGCAAGUAGAAGGAUUAGAUGCCUGGAACGUAUCAUGUUUGAAACUAGCAUCUCCAUAAAUGUAAUUUAUAUGCUUCACAAGCAGUUCGCGCCACAUCUCUAUUAAAUGUUGCUUUUGCUGAAUAGGGGCAUGAUAUUCUUAUGGCUACAAUGCUUAACGGAGCUGCAAUUAUGGAUGGAGCACUUCUUUUGAUUGCUGGUAAUGAAAGCUGCCCCCAACCUCAGACUUCUGAGCAUCUUGCCGCUGUUGAAAUCAUGCGUCUCCAACACAUUAUCAUUCUACAGAAUAAGAUUGAUCUUAUUCAGGAAAGUGCGGCAAUUAAUCAACAUGAAGCUAUCCAGAAGUUUAUUCAGGUAGGGUUUCUAGGGUUGCCUCUUUUGUACUACAGAUCAGUUUCCUCUAUUUUGCCCUUUUGUAACACUUGCAAGUGUUCAAUGAUAUGAACAGGGUACGAUUGCUGAUGGGGCUCCUGUGGUACCAAUAUCCGCCCAAUUGAAAUACAACAUUGAUGUUGUUUGCGAGUAUAUUGUCAAGAAAAUACCUAUUCCUGAGAGGAAUUUCACUUCACCGCCAAACAUGAUUGUGAUUCGUUCUUUCGAUGUGAAUAAGCCUGGUUCUGAGGUUGAUGAAAUAAAGGGUGGCGUUGCUGGUGGAAGCAUACUGAGGGUACGCUAAAAUACUGAACUGCAUGAAGGCAUACAUUAUUAUAAACCUAGUUUUGCAAGAAAACCUCGUUUCUCCAAUUGUUCGGCACCAAGUGUAUUUUUUAUUUCCUGUUUUGAUUGCAAUUGUUGUUUCUCUUGAUAUUUUUUAAAAUUGUUUCUCAUGCUUAAUUAUUUAACAUAUCAUGCUUUUUGUGAUUACUGUGGUUAUAUAGCUAAGUUAUGUAUGUAUUCAAUGCAGGGAGUAUUGAAGGUGAACCAGUUCAUUGAAGUCCGUCCUGGAAUUGUGAUCAAAGAUGAGAGCGGUAACAUUAAGUGCACCCCCAUAUAUUCAAGGAUUGUUUCCCUAUAUGCUGAGCAGAAUGAGCUACAGUUUGCUGUGCCUGGGGGGCUUAUCGGAGUGGGUACUACAAUGGAUCCUACACUGACCCGUGCAGAUAGGCUUGUUGGUCAGGUUCUUGGAGAAGUUGGAUCUUUGCCCGAUGUUUUCGUCGAGUUGGAGGUUUGCUCAAUCUCAUGAUUGUUUUUCAAUUUUGUGAAAUAAUUAAACUUGCUGAAGUAUAAUUCAACUGCAUCUUUCAUCAUUAUCAUUGUCUCAACUCCCAGUGACGUAGGGUCGAGUAGAACUAGGGCUGUUAACUGAGCUCACUGCUUUCCAUCCCAAAAUUAGGCUGAAAAAGUGUUGGAUUGAUUACCUUAUUCAGUAAUAAGCUAAGCUCGAGCUUAAUCUAGAUCACUUUUAUAUGGGCUGCUUAAGCUUGAAAGAUAAUCUAACUGCCAAGAACAAAGUGUACUGAACAUUGUUUAAAUCAUUGUUUACACUUUUGGAGGAAUAUAUGCUUAUUCUUGUCAAACAAUCUCAAUGUUACUGUAAGGAACUUGGAAGCCUUUUCCAAGGACGUUUUGAGCUAAGUGCUUAUAGUUUGCCCAACUGGUGAAGAGAGUAUAUGAGUGAGGUAAGAUAGAAAAGUUAAUGCAUUAUCUGCACCGGAACUGGUCUCUCCAUGUAGAAUAUCUGUAAUACAAUUGCUCAUGUAGAAUGUCUGCCUGUCUUAAUAUUUUUGGAGUAUCCGCAUUUUCUGAGUUCUUUAACUUUUGAAUGUUCUGCAGGUGAACUUCUUUCUGCUGCGAAGGCUUUUGGGUGUAAGGACGAAGGGCACGGAGAAGCAAGGAAAGGUGUCGAAGCUAGCCAAGGGCGAGAUCCUCAUGCUCAACAUCGGAUCCAUGUCAACGGGCGCCCGUGUGGUUGCCGUGAAGAAUGAUCUCGCGAAGCUGCAGCUCACUGCGCCUGUCUGCACCAGCAAAGGUGAGAAGGUGGCACUCAGCCGACGAGUCGAGAAGCAUUGGCGGCUUAUCGGCUGGGGCCAGAUCCAGGCUGGUGUCACUCUUGAAGUCCCCCCUUGCCCAAUCUGAUAACCUCCUCCCAUUUCCUAUAAACGAAGUCAUUACCAGCAAAAUUAAAGAAACUUGUGAGAGAUCGAUCUAAGUGGGACUGAGGGUAGAGAAUCUCUGCUUAUAAUUUUCGAGUGGUGUAGAAAAAAUUUGGUUUUCCCCACUUUUACCUUUUUUCUUUUGUUUCAAAUUAUCGAGAGAAUGCAAGGUUCUAGAGGCUAUUUUUGUUUGUAGUGGAAUAAUAGCUUCUUAUUUGAAUGUCUAUUUGUGUGGAUUAUUACCAGAUGGUAGCCUGUUGCCAUAGUGCUUUUCAAAUGAAUUGGAUUAAUUAGAUGACAAGGUACAUGAUUUGCUGUUCCAAAUGUUUUUUGUGUUGUUAUUAAGAGCACUCACCUUGUUAGUAACUAUAUUGCGUCCACUUCAGCCUUUUAAGGUUUUUCUUAUUUAUUGUUCUUUCUUUUUAAAAAUUAUAUAUGCCAGUGGUAGUGUCAUGUUUGUUGGUUUUGCCUUCUUUGAUUUGAGAACAUGAAAAUUUUGAGGGGCAUGCGUGAGCACUUUUAUCGUGCAUAAAAGUCGAUGAUCUUUUUCGUUCCAACAAUUAACAAGCUGACAUAAGAAUCAACGGCACACGUCACACUCAUUUGAGUGAUAUUUCAUCAGGGGGUGGUCUGUGUUAAAUCAUUCAGUAUUGCAAUUUCUUUAGUAGUUUCUCCCUACUAGUCAAAAAAUUCGAAAUGUCAUGUUAUGAAAGGCCAGAGGCCCUCGUUUUGACACCAUUGAUGACUUUAAAUUUAUGGACAAUAGAGAGAGAUUGUGAACUGUCUUAGAAGUAUUUUAAUUUUAGUAAAUAAUCUAAAUGCGGUACAAAUUCCUGAUCUAAUACCUGUUGAUACUGUUGCUUUACCAGUAGCAGAGCAGCUUUAGCUAGUGAUCAAACUAUUCAGUAGCUUUAGAUAGUAACUUGUGUUCUCAACUGCUUCAGUAACUGGUGGAAAACAUUCAAUCAGGCGGAUGGAUUAAAGAUUGAAAAAAGCUAUCAUUCUUCAAAUUGAUGUGUUCUGAACUGUGCUAUCGACGAUAAAUCCUGAUGUUAUGAAUGGAUAAGUUCAAUGAAAAUAAGAGUCAUUUGCAUGAGGAACUAAAGAUUGUCUAUGCCUCGUAUCCUCUGAAGAGAAUCUUGUAAAAGAUUUUUUUAUGAAAGUAGGUAUCAGCUUUUAGUAAAUGACAUUUUUUGAUAAGAUAUUUAUUAGGAUCUUUGUAUUAAAUCUACUCUUUGCUUACAUACAUCAUAAUUUGAUAUUGUAAAAUUUGGUUGUCAUUGUGCAUGCAUUGCUAUUUUGUGGGUAAAAUUUCAAUACUGGUUCCCUGAAAAAUGAGUCAAGUUUCAUGUCGGUGCUCAAAUUUUAAUUUCAACAUUCAAGUUCUUAAACUUUUAAUAAGAUUUCAAUUUAGUUCGUAUGCGUUGUGCGGUAUUUGAUUUUAGUCUGUUGGAAUAGUGAAAAAUGUAUGAAGUAGAAAGAUGAAAAAGCUUUCAAGACGUGUAGCAAUGCCACUUUCCUUAAGGCUUAAUCCGUCCCCACGGUUCAAUCAAUUUGGUGUACACAGGGUCAAUAUAUAAACAACCUCCUAGGAUACAAUGAAACACAAACCUUAACUGCGUUUGCACACACGAAAUUGAGCUUUUGAGCUCUCACUCGAUUAAGUUGUCAAAGAAAUAGAAUAAGAAAACAAGAAUAAAAUUAUUAUGAACGGAGACUUAAAACUCUUCAAAUGUUUUGUAUUUUUGCAACCAACGCUAUGUACUUAUAUAGAUCACGAACGGGUGCUUCAUGAAGUGACUAUUCAUAAAUUGGUGUUUCGUGCAGUGGCCUUUCAAUUGUGACUUUUCAUUUUUAUAUGAGUCAAAUUUAAUGAAUGUAAGAAUUAAUUCCAACGGACGUAUGCUCGAAGAGAGACAUUAUAAUAAAGAUGUGUUUUUUUUAUGUCAUAUCCUUUCAUUAAAGAGAAAUGAUUCGGUACUUUUUUUAAAAAAAAAUAAAAAAGAUCUUAACCGUUCAUUAAUAGAGGGUAAAAAUGUAACUUUAAUACUUAGCAGGUAAAAGGAUUAUUUUAUUCAAGGUUAAUUUGGUAAUUAAAUAAUACAAUAUUUAAAGAAACUUUUAAUUGAGGUCCUAAAUUUAUGCAUUAAUUAGUACUAAUUUAGGAAAUUAAUUGAUUAACCAAAUUUAUGAAAUUAUUAGGCAUUAAUUUAGGAAUCUACUUUAAAUGUUUUAGUGUUUCUCAAAUUAUGCAUUAAUUUAAAUUAUAGAAAUUUUAGAAAUAGUUUUAUUUCUAAAUACGAUGAAUUUAAAUUUUAAAAAUUAAAUACUUAAAAUUUAAAAGUGAAAUUUAAAUUAGAGGAAUUUCAUAUUACUAUUUAAAAACUAAAUUUCUACCAAGAUUUAAAAUACAGUUUAUUCGCACCAGUUUAAAACGUAAUGCAUAAAAAACUUAGAGAGUAAGAUUUCUACAACUAGAUUUCUCUAGAGGAAUUUCAUAUUACUAUUUAAAUUUUAAAUUCAAUGAUUUAAAAACUAGAUUGAACCGAUUGAUUUGACUGAUCAGACUUUGACCUAUUCUAUCAAGAAUCUGAUUUUAACCUAUUGAACCGAAUAACAUUAAGAACAAUUUGGAACCGGUAAAGAUAAUAAAUAUUUUAAACAGAAUAAUAAUUUAACUGUUAGAGCUAAUAAAUAUUUUAAAUAUAAUUUUAAACAUAUAAAUUAAAAAGAUUAGAAUUAUUGGUGAGAAAAAAAAUAGUUAGGAAUUUGAAUUCGAAUCUGACUAACAAUCACAAAACUUAUUUCCGAACUCGACGGAUUUCAAAAAUCCAUAUCCAAAUUCAAAACUGACCAAUUUUUCGAAACCCAAAAUCAAACCUAAACUAGAAGACUAGAAUUCAAACAAUUAUUUCUGUUUACCAUAUUUCAAAGUAUUUAUAUGAAACUUAAAUUUUUAAAAUAUAAAUUUAUAUAUAAUAUUAAAUUUUAAAUUUAAAAGUGAAAUUUAAAUUAGAGAAAUUUUAUAUUACUAUUUAAAGUUUAAAUUCAAUGAUCAUAUUGUCACAUUAUUUGAAAAUUUUCUUAUAUGAAAUGCCAAAUUAUGAAAUGAAAGAUAGAGAGAGCAAAAGGAAACAAAGAAAAAAUAAAAAUUUUGAAAAUAUAGUAGAUGUAAAAUGACUAAAUUGCCCAUGUAUUAAAAGACAAAAAUAUCCUUUUUUGAGGUACCUGGUAACCGGUACCUCUCCUAAAGUGACCUGCUAUUGCAGGUCACAAUUUUAAAAAAACUAAAUCUGAGUCGUUGAAUACGCGUGAAUGAACGGUAACCAAAAAAAAAAAAGUAUAGAAGCAUUACUCUUCAUUAAAAGUCACAUCCUUUCAUAUUCACUCUAAGAGUCACACUCUUUGAUUAGAGUUGCAUCCACUCAUUAAGAGUUGCAUCCAUUCACUAAGAAUCGCAUCCAUUCACUAUAAAUCAAAGAACAAAAUAUAUUAUUUUAAAAAUUUUCUUACAUAGUCUACCUUAGAUUAGAAAUUGUUGCAUGUUCGAAUUUCAUCUAUUUGUCCAUACACCAUAAAUUCGUCAGUUUUUGAUCAUCUUCAUACUUUCAUUUCAGAGGUCCCACUUAUUUAAUAAAAAAAAUUAUAAUUCAGUAGACAGUAGGGUUUAAAUAUGCAAUUAAAAAGUUGUUAAUAAAUGUGUGGUACAUAUAGGUACAAAUGCACUGUAGUAAAUGUAUGGAAGAACUAAAAUGAAACUCUUUGAAGAGCUUAGGGGUUGCUAAUGUCGAAAUUAAAAGUUUGAGAACCAAACCGAAACAUGGCUGAAAGUCUGGGAAGUAGUGGCGCAAUAGCAAGAACAAAAAAGCAUAUGCAUAAACAAUCCCAACAGGACAAUUAUAAGGACUUUUUUCGAAAAUAACCCUAUAAAAUUUUGUAUUUGCCAAACUAACCCUGUGAAAUUUUUAUUUGUGAAACUAACCCUCCUCUCGCCACGUGGGCGCCACGUCAGGGAUUCCUAAAAAAGACGAUGAAUCGUUCACCGUCUUUGAUAUUUGUUGUGAAGGCGGUGAAUGGUUCACCGUCUUCAUAAGACGGUAAACCAUUCACCGUUUUUAGUACAAAUUCCUACACUGCGCAAAUCUUUUCAAGUCCAUCCAUAAUAUGGUGUCCUUGAUAAGACGGUGAAUCGUUCCCCGUUUUCUCGAGGGCACAGAAAAGGCGGAUUUGAGAGGGUGGAAAGGAAAAAGGACGGAAAGGAGAAUUUUGCACUAAAGGCGGUGAAUGGUUCACCGUCUUUAGAACGGUGAACCAUUCACCGCUUUUAAACAAAAAUUACAAAGACGGUGAACGAUUCACCGUCUUUUUGAGGAAUCCCUGACGUGGCGCCCACGUGGCGAAAGGAGGGUUAGUUUUACAAAUAAAAAUUUCACGGGAUUAGUUUGGCAAAUACGAACUUUCACAGGGUUAUUUUCGAAAAAAGUCCCAAUUAUAAUUUCCUUUUUAACAGGCCUUUUUGCUCACUAAAAGCUGUCUGUAAUUUGUAAGGAAAAAAAAGAAGAAAAAACCCGUGGCUUUUCUACGGAAAAUAUACAUUUUAUGAGCUUUAUGAGCCAUAGUGUUUUGAUAAACUUCAGAGUAUGUGGAGCUCGUACACUGUGGCUCAAGUAAAUCCCCACAUCAGAUGGAGCCCAACCAUUAAACGGUUGAGUUCAAAAAUGUAAAUCCCCGCAUCAGAUGGAUCCCAACCAUUGAGCAGUUGAGUUCGUUAACGUUGUAGACAGUUUACCAGCACAGCUGCGCUCUUUAGUUUAAAUGACUGCUACAUACUCCAGAACGCAUUCACCAAAAUUUUUUGAGUCAUUUUUUGGUUCAUUUUCUCUGCUGUAUGUUCUAUGCUGUCAUUUGAGCCCUGCAUUGUCUUGCUACUGCAUUUAAAUGUACUACGAUCAUUUGUUAUUGCAACUGAGGUAUAAUUUUUUACUCCAUGGCAAAUUCUCAAAAUCAAUAUUUGAGGAAAAGAACUUCAUCUGUGAGGUGAUUUUGUUUAAAAAAUGCGGAUUAUACUUAAUGCAAUGGUGAAAGUAUAUUUGGCGAUUGUCCUAAACACCUUAAUCUCGUCUCCCAGCACCUCUCGAUCUCAUAUUUUGAUCGACACCUAUGGUUCUCGCUCAAAUAACCGGAAUGCAAUUAUGUACUUGCAAGACCGACAGUCUCUAGAGCAAGUGGCAAAGGACUUAGUGGUUGGUACCUGAGACCCAAGUUCGAAUCCUAGUUGGUUCACAUUUCCAGCUAAGUUUAUUUCUAAAUGAAAUAAACGAAGCAGAUAGCGUGCUACCUAUUUCUCUCAAAAAAAAAAAAUUAUGAAUUGCAAGGUUAUUUCUAUAGCAAUGGUGGAUUUGUGAUGGGUUCACAAGUUUGUAAUUUUUCACACCAUCAAAGAAAAAGGACUAUUCAUUCCAUAUAAAAUGUCUCAAAUCCCCAUUUCCCAUUAUGUGGAUAACUACUAAGUAGUGGAGUAGUAGAUCCAACUCCCCAUAACCAUUCCCACCAUUUUUCCAUAAUUAACUUAAUAAAGCGGGUAACAAUACUAACCUAAUCCACUAGGUUGCCGAUCAGUCAAAUAGGGCCUUUCUUAAAUGAGUCAUAUAACUCAAGUCUAACAAAUUUCUCACCUUGUAAGAAAAAUGACUUUACGUACAGCCUCUAAGUUAGCUCUUCUCGGAAUAUAAUAAAUCACCCCCUAGGUGAAAAGCAUCAGGUCUGAAAAAUUAUGAUUACGAAGGCCUUGCAAUGGACUAAAAUUUAGUUCACGCAAGUUAUCACAAAGUAAUAAACCCAAUGUCUUAAAAAGGCCUCAUAUAUAGGAUGCACGUUCAGUCUACAUAACAUACAUGUAAAAGCAAAAAACUGAGGAAAUACAGUAGAGUUCAAUAAACACACGCAUCAAUUCUUUCUAAUCAAGAACCUUUGCUUUACAUAUUAUAUUUAUACAUCAACUAAAAAAAGAUUUUCAAGAUAUUAAAUAACUUGAAUUCCGUUAAAAACACUACAAAGAGCUUCAUAAAUUAGGGAAGUUUUCCUUUCAUCAUUGAAAGAGAAUAUGGUCUCGUUAGCACUGCUCUUUAUUAGCACCCCUUCUGGUCAGUGGCGUUAUCGUUCCUACAAAUCGACCCAUUUAUCCCUCUCUCUUCUAGGGAUAGAAUUAAUCGAGCAGGAUCAACAUGACCGCAGAGGAACAAUUGUUCAUUUGAUUGCUUCAGUGGCUUCUUUCCAGAAAGGAGAUACUUUCCAUUACUCAACAGAAGCUUCCCAUUAACCUUCCAGUAAUCUUCGUAGCUUAAGCUAAAAUGCUAGGUUUGUUGCCAAUUAGAGUUCAAAAGCCUUCUCACGAGUUUGGUAAAAACAUAAUUGCAAGUUCUUGGAGCAGUAUAAGAAUAAGAAUGAGGCGCCUUCCUUUAUAGUGCAGUGACAUCUCAGAAUUUCAGGGAACUGCAUAUAUUUAGCGCGUAAAAAUUAAAAAAAGAUGAAAAAUGCGAUAUUUAAAGAGAAGUAAAAGACUACCAGAGUAGCUCCAGUAAUGAUUGAACUUUCUGCAUCCUGCUAAACAAAGAAGUGUCGUCCUACAGUGAAAAAGGAAAAUGGAAAUCACUUUAACACGAGAUAAUCCGCAAUUCUAAUUAAAGAUGAGUGAGAGCUUUCAUCGAACAAAAGUAAAAUUGGACAAAUUUUGCAGAAAGUGGACGAAAGACUACCACGACAAAUCACAAAGGUUUCUAAGUAUUGCCAUUGUAUCUCACACUUCAAAGGGUACUGACCUAUAUAAUCCAACCUAUAUAAUGUAAUAACGCUUAUCUACUCAUGCAACACAAUAUUUAUUUUGUAAACUUUCCAAAACUCCAAUUUUCUGUUGGAAAAUCUUUCUGAUCUCUUAGUAAAAUUUUCUUUAAAAGCUAUUCAAAAGUUUAAUUUCAGUUUUUAGGAAAAUUUCGAAAAGAAAUUAAAUAGUAAAUACUGUAAAGAAAAGGAUUAGAAAAGGCCUGUGGAUCGAGCUAUGCAGAGUACUGUCCUAGAAGCGAGAUUGCCCUUCCACGUGCGAGGCUUCUCGGCAAUCACUUCUAGCGAUACAACAUCCACAUUCCACCUUGUCAGCAUGCUUUCAAGGUGGCGUAAGAUGAGCCCAAUAAACUUUAGAUUCAGCAAAAUAUUAGAAAGCUCGGUGAAAAUCAGCGCAAAAGAUCAAUGACGAGAAAAUAGAAGAAGCGGAGGUAGAGAUUAGGGUUUUAUUCUCAGGUAAGCCCAAGUUGAGAUUGAACUCUUGUAACCUUCUCCAAUAUAUAUCAAGCCUACCGGUCCGUGAUAUACGGAUAUGGGUUAGGGCUCCCAAAAAUAAAGAUGAAACAAAAAAUAAAAAUAAAUAAAAUAAAAUAAACCGGGUGUCUGGACAGCGUGGGUCGCCGCCCGCCCGCCCGGCGCGGCUCGUGCUCGUGCCGUGCGUGCAUUUAGUCGAGAGCAUAACUCUCAUUUUCUCUCAAGCAACUAAUUUGAAAAUGAAGGAGUAUAAAAAUAACAAUAACAUACUUUUAGUUUUCAAUGUGAGACUAAUCUUCACAUGUGAAAUCUUAGUAUGGGCUUCCAGGCAAAACCCAUGGAAUAUUGGGUUGCCCAGGAAGCCCAUGAAGUCUUAAAGCACCAAAAAACCCAAAAAAUUCUAACAUUUUCAGCAUCGGCCUUGUUUAGAACACAAAUCAACUCCUAUCUAUCUUUAGCAGCUAAAGUGCUUAUUAUGAUUUAAAUAAGUUCCAAGAUAGGAACAAGAACUACCAAUACAUAACAUGCAUGAAGAAUUAGACAAACACUGCCAACCCGAUUAUUAAGACUACAUAAUCAGCAUUUCACCUUAUGAAUGCAAGACUAAUAAAAAAAUAGAUAAACAACAAGAUUCAUUAAUCAAGUUUCUUCCUUAAGCAGCAAUCUAAUGGAGUACAAGCCUAAUUAGGUGAAUCGACUCUGAUACCAACUGUAACGACUCGGACGACUAGCACUAAUAACUCAUUGGGCCCAAAUCAUCGCCCAAAAUGCUUAAGCUCAGUUAUUAGUUCUAGUGCACCCACCAUAUAUAAGGUGCUUGCACUUUCCUACAUUAUUUGUUUUAGGCCUUGACGACCCAUCAGCCCGAUCUUAGACAUAGCACAACACAGUCAUGCGAUGUGACGCCCACCUCACACUACCGGCUGGUGAAGCAGCUCUGAUACAAACUGUAACAAUCCAGUUUGCUAGCACUAAUAACUCGUUAGGCCCAAACCACCGGUACAAACUUCUUAAGCACAAUUAUUUGUUUUAGUGUGCCUGCCAUAUAUAAUGUCACGACCCGCGACCACCCGCCUAUUUGGUCGAGGUCGCGGCACCGACAGCGCCGAAUGGACAGGGUUUUUCCUGUACUACGGACAGAGUCUCCCUUGUACAUUCAAGGCAUCGCAAUCAAUACAAUACAAAGGUUCCAACCAGGAACAGUACUCAACAAACAGAUUGCAUAAGGAAGGUAUCAACAACAUAACACAUCCUAUGUUAUUACAUACAUUCACAUUCAUUGGUUUUACAUCACAAUUCUCAUUUGAUUUCUUCCAAAUACAAUCUAGUUAUUACAAAUUUAUUUACAAGUUGAUAUAUUGUGUUCUUUUCAUUCCCCAUACCCCUAAGCUAUGUCGACGGGGUACUGCUAGCUCUGGUCUCUGGGUAGGGCGCUAUUUAUGGAGCUAAGCCCUUUCCUCGCGCCGCCGCGCCGCUCACGUGCGAACCUGUAACACCCCAAAACAACGUGGGGUGAGAACCAACUCCAUGAUUCCCAGUGGGUACGGCCACCCAAGGAAAAAGCUCGACCAAAAGAUUCAAGGAGGCACUGCAAUCAUGUUAGUCCAAAAACAUCUAUAGAUAUAUAUAUCAUCAUGUUAUUAUGCAACUAAUAGAUAACAUGCCUCGCAAUAUGCAAUAUGUAUAUCAUGCAGUUCUAUGCAAUUAUGCAACCAUUCAGGAGAUCUAUUGAUUCUACAUUCAACUCAACUAGUCUUAGCUCAUGUUAUUUGACUCUAAGGUUUCUACUACCUUAGUUCACCACAACUCAAGUUCAACUUGCUUCUAAGGUCUCUAUUACCUUAGCUCUUACCUUUAUCACUAGCUUUCAAGGUUUCUAUUAACCUAAUCAAGCUAACCACCCGACUCGGCCUUGAGUCAAUCAUCUGCAGAUAGUCCGUGCACUAGCCGCCCUCUAAGACUUAACCAGCUGGCGGCGAAGUCGUCGCAUACGCCGAACACUGGUUCAAGUCCCUUGAAUUGGCCAUCUGGCGGCAAACGAAUUGCACCUCACCCAACAAUGGCUCAAGUCGAUAUGGCGGCAUAAUCCACAAACUGGCUUAAUCAUCCGGCGGCAAAAUCGUCGCACACGCCACGACAAUGGUUCAAGCCCCGGGCGGUGAUCUCUGUGCACUCACCUCCCAAUCCUCCCUUGGUAUCAACCUCGGCGGCGAAAUCGUCGCACACGCCCUAGCCUUGAUACCAAGGUCAUCACAGGUCCUGGGAUUCCAGAAUCCACUUCUACGGGUCGAGGGUCCAUAACCAAACCUAUGCUGUCGACCUAGAACAUCCUAGUGGCUGCUACCACUAUUCUCAACAACCUAGGUUCAAAGCCACUCUAGGUUUACUAUAUCACAACCUAGGUUACCAAAACUCUAAGUUCUAUAUCAUCACUACCUAGAUCUCAGCUUCUAGGUUCACUGGUUCAAUCUAUGUUCACUGACACUAGGUUCAACAUCCCUAUGUCCGACCUAUGUUUAUUAACACUAGGUUCGAUAUCAUUCCUGUUCAACCUAUGUUUACUAACACUAGGUUAGAUGCCACUCGAUCUAAUCGACAUCCUAGUUGUCCAAUCGAGUAUUACGGUUAUACAUUCCUGUUUUCCAAUGUUAUUUCUCUAAUCAAUCUAGAGUAAUCAACCAAGUUCACAUGCAUAUAUAAUUUCACAAUGCUAAUCACGCCCUUUAUAAUCUCACAAUGCUAAUUAUACAUUUAUAAUCUCAUAUAUCAUUUUAUAUGCAUCUACUUAGCAUUUGCAUUAUAUUAUCCACAUGCAUUAUCUAGCAUUAGCUACAUGCAUCAACUUAGCAUUUUAAUUUAUGUCAUCAACAUGAACUUCAUUCCAUGCACUAUACUCACAUGCAUUCUUUUAGUGUUAAUUACAUGCAUCCAUUUACAUGCCUCAUUUACAUUUAUAUGUAUCAACAUGGAUUCUUAACUUUCUUAGACAUAAAGGCGACUUAGUCGCUUCGGUAAGCACAACCCACCUUAACUCGCGUUCCGAUUGCUUGUCGACACUUGCAAUCGGCCUCCCGCGGCACCAGUAUCCGGUACGGCCUGAUAUUGCAACUGCGCCUCAAUCGUGCUCCGCUUCGCAGCCCCGGAAAUUAUAGGUCUUCGGUUAUGUGCCACGGUGCUCCAAAUCCAUUUCCACGAUUUUACGACAUCACCUUAGCCCUCCAGGCAGAAACGAAGCUAAAUCGCUUGUUUCUUUAAUAUCUUUAUAACGGCUCAACAGAUCGCCGAACCGACUUCGUCAACGCAUUCGUUUACCUAGCAAUUAGGUUUACAGAGGUAUAAAUGAGAUCACACCCAUCUAUUUAUAAAACCCCAUUUCAGAGCCCUACAUUCCAACUAGGCAAAAACCUAUCUUUAAAUCUCUAGAUUCUAGCAUUUAUCACCUAUUUAGCAUGCUAGGAAUCCAAUUAAACCACUUCUAGAGAUCAAAACCACAUAUCUAGGGAUCUACCAUGAGAGGCUAAGAAGCUUACCUCUCUAGGUUUGCUCCAAGCACGAGGAAGACGAAGGAGAGGAUGAAGAUCUCCUUCUUGAUCUUCUUUUCCUUCUUUUUCUUCUUUCUCUCCUUCUCCUUCCUCUUCUUCUUCUCUUCUUCUUUUUCGUUUAGAGAGAGAGAGAGGGAUGGUGUUGGGGUUGAAACGGUGAGGGAAAGAGAGAGAGAUGUUCUAACCCUCUCUAUACACUUAACCCAUGCAACAAUUGCAUAAAAAUCCCCCAACAAGUCUCUUCUCGCAACAGCCCGAACUGGGCAUUUUCGGGCUUCGGGGACCGGUCCUUGGAUGAGGGAUCGGUCCCUGAGAGACCGGUCCUUGGCUGAGAGACCGGUCCCCGAAGGUCCAGAACUCAGCCUCAAGGACUUAGCCAAAUUUUCAGCAUUUUCGUCCGUUUUCGUCCGUUUUCGUCCAUUUUCGCUCGUUUGACCUCCGAUUCUCUUCAAAUCAAACUGAGACUCUCCAAACAUGUUUUUAAGUAUGCUUUUAUCAUAUUUUCAUCCACGCUAAUACCGGAUUUAGCUCAUGGUCCAAUAUAGCCUUUCGGGUUCCGUUUUCGCGCCUACGCGCACCGAAACGCUCGAUUGCUCCCGAAUUUCACCGAACUUCAUUGGAACUAUUCAAAUGGCUCUCCAACCAAAUAUACACCGUAACUUCAUGAUUUUAGAAGUCCGGUACCUUACAUAUAAGCCCCUCACGCUCUUCCACAUCACCCAUUUUAGGCCAAGACCACCAGGCGAUGUGACGCUCACCUCACAGUUCUAGCUGGAGAAUCGGUUUUGAUACCAACUUAAAUGACCCAGCCUGCUAGCAUUAAUAACUUGUUGGCCUAUAGCACCGGCCCAAAAUGCUUAAGUCCAGUAAUUAGCUCUAGUGUGCCUGCCAUAUAUAAGCCCUUCACACUAUCUUGCAUUAUCCUUGCCCGCCACAUAUAAGCCCUUCACACUAUCUCGCAUUAUCCAUUUUAGGCUCUCACAACCUCAUAAGUCGAAUCACACAAAACCCAAGGCCACCGGGCGAUGUGAAGCCCCUUCCAUGUCCUAGGGUGUCACCCAUUCUAGCCUUAUAUACCCCAUACCAUACCCUUGGCUAUCUGAUAUGGGACUCUUCCCUAGCCUUAUAUACCAUCGUUACAUCCCAGAGGGUCACUCAUCCUAUGGCUAAUUCCACCCAAGCAUGCUUAACUGCAGAACCUAGCACUAAUAACUCGUUGGGCCAAAUCCAUAAUCCAAAAUGCUUAAGCCUAGUUAUCAAGUCUAGCUUAUCCAACCUUAUAUACCCCACACCAUGCUUUUGGCUAUCCGAUGUGGGACUAUUCCCUAGCCUAGGGUGUCACAGCAUGGGCUUAUUUAGGUUAAAGGAAAAAAAAUGUUGUCUCAAAAGAAAUUUGAAAACAUAUUCUGAAAUUCCCUAGCCUAGGGUGUCACAGCACGGGCUUACAUACUCGUUUAGGCAUGGCAAUAAUAAGCGCCAGCAAAAACAUGAGUUAUGUACAUAAUUGGUAUCAACUUUACAUAUAACAUUCGUUGUUUAUAAAAGAAAAAAAGGAGAAUAGUAUUGAGGAGUCCCUUACUUCAUUACUUGAUUAGUUUUAAGUAAUCCUUAGAUGUGGUUUUGGUGGAUUUAACUUCACGAUUAUGAAUGGUUACUUUCCUUGUUGAUAGCGGUAUUGUUAUUUCAUUCCAUUUUCUUUCUCUUAUUUGCAGAGGAUAUGUAUCUUGUUUGUGGUACUUGUUGUUUUGCGGAUUAUGUGUAUUGCUUUGUAUUCCAAUACCAUGCACGGAUAGAGGAGGUGCUAUCCAUGCGGUGGGUCAGUCACUGUAACACACUGGACCUCUGCAAAUUGCGAGGUUCGAGUGCUUGGAUAUAUUUCGAGCUUUUCCACACUUGGUGGAGGGUUGUAGAAUGUUUUCCGACCUAAAAAGUUCGAAAACUGGAAUUCUGGACAAGUCCUGAGAGUUUUUACUCUCGGGGACCGGUCCCUGGAAGGAGAGACCGGUCCCCCAGUGAGCAGUGUUGCGACAGCCUUGAGGCAACCGGUCCCUGGCAGGCGAGACCAGUCCCCGAGCGCGCCUUCGCAGUGUGAGACCGGUCCCGCGCAGGGAGAGACCGGUUCCCGAACGAUAGUUUUUCGGGUUCGCAGUGAGAGACCGGUCCCUGCUGGGGAGAGACCGGUCCCUCUGGGCGAAAACUGCCCAGACCGGGCUGUUGCAAUAUUGUAUUUUUGAGGGGCCUCUCCGGAUUUUGUUACACUAGAUGGACUUAUUAGCCAUUCCUCCUCUUCCCUCUCCCAUUUUCUCAUUCUCACCUCCCUCCCUACACCUUAUAGAGAGAGAAGAAGGAGAAGAAGGAGGAGAAGAAGAAGAGGAGCUUGCUUGAGGGAGCUUGGAGCUCAACCCCUUUCUCUCUUUUCCACCCUUGCAAGGCUUAGAGCUUGCUUGUAGAGCUUGGUGGAGGACCAAUCUUCAACCCUAGAAGAUUUGGAGCUUGCUUGGAGGCAUCUUGGGAGGUUAGUACUUGGGUUCUACCCUUUGAUCCUUGAUUUGGUAGGUUUUAUCAUUUGGAACCCUAGAAUGGGUAUUAGGGUUGAUUUUGGGGGCUUCUUGAUCUAGGACUUUUGAGGCUAGAUUGAUUGGAUUAGAACCUUCCUUGGGCUUGGAUUGGAAGGGAUUUAGCUCUCUUUUGGAGCUUGAGAGAGAUUUCCUACACAUUAGGUGAGUUUUAGCCCUUUUGGUAAGUUUGUUAAAGUUUGAUCUUAUAGUUGAUCGUAAUGCCCGUGUAUCUCUUUGCUCGAUGCUUUUAGGGUAUUUUGAGACUCGUGGACAACUCCGUUCGGCGAAUCGAAGGAGCACGCGACGGUUCAAUGGGUUUGACCUAGUCACACAAUGAGAAAUUCUCAUUUGUGAUGAAUUAAGUAUCAUUAAUUGCAAAAGCAUGCAUAUUCUUGUUAUAUGUAUUUAUUGUGAAUUUUAGAAUACUUAAAAUGCCUAUGUUGCAUAUAGUAAAAUUUUGGGCCUCUAUGUAGUAGAGAGCAUGCAUGUGUGACAUAGCAUUCUGGUUGAGACUGAAACUGAAAUCCCGAUUAUGAAAAUGGACCUUGCUUUCAUGCAUUUAGCUUAUUUGCUACUUGUGACAUUAGGGAUUUUUGGAAGCCUAGAGAGGCUUGAGGACUAUGACUAUUUGAGAGAUUUGGCCAAUGUCAUAAAGAGGCAUUGGGCUCGGGCUAGAGUGAACCUAGCUAGUAUUGUUUUAAUGGGAAUAUAGAACAUGAAUUGGGCAUGAUUAGUUGUGGUGCUUAAGUGUCAUAAAGAGGCACUAAGCAAGCAUGUGCGUUGGAGCGUCACUUGGAGACUUUGGACUAGAUCCUUGGGAUGCUAGUGACCUUGCCAUGUGAGAGGCAUGAGAGUAGAGUACUUGAGACUUUGACCUUGCUUGCUUGCCAUAUGUGCUCAUUCGCACAUGCUUGUGAGGGUCGCUCCCUACAAGCCGGCACUCCGGAGUUAGCCUACGCGACUUAUGUUCGCUCGUGCGGUAUUGAGAAGCCUACGGGGUCGAGUGGGACAGACACAUUCCAAGAGUAGGGAUGUCGGGCUACCACAGGCACUUAGGCGGCACAAGCUGGACUACCUUGGGUAGGUCCCUAAUUGGAAAUGGAAACCGACACAAUGUUGAGUGUGUGAUAAUCACUACUAGACAGAGAGUAGUAGCUGGAUUACUUGGACUUGCUUCUAACAUAGAUGUGGACAUUUGGGUAUUCAUCCAUACAUGUAGUAUGCUAGGAGAUGUUGUUUAUUGCAUCCUUAUAUGCAUUAUAGCCAUGACAAAGUAUCACUUUCAUAUCUGCAUAAAAUAAAUCAUGAUAUUACUUGUGAACAUGUAGAUAUAUAUUAUCCAUGACAAGAUAAAGUCGCAUUAUAAAUGCCAUGUUUAAUUGCGAGUCGUAGCUUAGCAUCUUAAUUAUGCUUUCUUAUAUGCAAUUUACUCGUUACUAUUAUUGUUGGAGUUACCCCCCCCCUUUUUUUUUUCUUUUGGGGCCUAGUGGAGCAAUGAGCUGAGGUCAGUAAUUGCCUACUGGGAACUAUAAAUUAUAGUUCUCACGCCCCCUGUUUUAUAUUUUCUUUCAGAGCCUUCCACGCCGGGAGAGGCUAGGGACCGUGGGAAGGGCGUCGCUUCGAGUUAGCCCUUCAGCGAGAGAUGAGCUUAGGUGGUCUACCUCUCGAAGUAUUUUAUUUUUGCGAGAGGUUGAGGGUUUUACUAGUGUACUAGAGACCACAAUUUUUGUACUUUUGAGAUUGAUAGUGUACUACUUAUGGUUUCUUUUAUUGUUUAGCUUUAUUUUUUUACUUUGGUAUAGAUGAUAGAACUUUACUCGCUCUGAUAUCAUUAGUUGCUAGUUAUUUUACUUCUGUUUAUUUGUUCUAUAUCUUGCUUUACUUCCGCUUUUUAUUGUAGACGCCUUAUAUGUGUAGACAUAUGGCGGGUCUGGGCACGCUACCGGGAGGGCCUCCGCCGGUCCCGGGGCGUGACAGUCAUGCCCUGGGCUAGGCUUAAAAUAUUUUUAACCUAUUCUCGUACUACUCCGAUUUCAGAAUAUGUUUUCAAAAAGAGGCCCAAUGGGUGGCAUAAAUGGCCACAACAGUAAAGGUAACUCGAUAGCCAGUGAAUGUCCAAAGUCAAAUCAAACAACCGUUAGGUGCUUCAACUGUCAUAAGGUUGGUCACUACUCCUAUAAAAGUCCUAAGAGAAACAUGGUUAUUCAACCCAAUGAGGACGAACUUGAGGAGGCUGAACACGUUCUAGAUGAGAUAGCUAGCAACAAGGAAGAUUUAGAACAAACGUAUGAUAACGAUGAUAAUGCCUUUUUAUGGGUCAUAGUGCAACAGUAAAGGUAACUCGAUAGCCAGUGAAUGCCCAAAGUCACAACAAACACCCAUUAGGUGCUUUAAUUGACAUAAGGUUGGUCACUACUCCCAUGAAAGUCCUAAAAGAAAUAUGGUUAUUCAGCCCAAUGAGGAAGAACUAGAGGAGGCUGAACACAUUGUAGAUGAGAUCGCUAGCGACAAGAAAGAUUUAGAGCAGAUGUAUGAUAAUGAUGAUAAUGCCUUUUUAUAGGUCAUGCACUGUGUCAUAGCUACACACACAGACAAGAUGACAAUCGGAGACACAGCACAAUUUUUCAGACUUUGGCAAAAUGCAAUGAUAAAAAUUGCAAGGUUGUUUUUGAUAGAGGGAGCUGCAUUAUAGUAGUCUUCAAAUUGGCCAUGAAAGAAUGAACUUAAAACCUGAGCCUUAGCCUAUUCCAUACAAGUAGCUUGGGUAGACAACCUCGUUGCCGGUUAUACAGAGAUGCUUUGUCCAGCUUCACUUUGCCACAUAUGAGGACCAAAUUUGGUAUUGUACAACGCAGCGGAACUAUUCGUUCGUACCUUUUUGCGGAAGCGAUCGCGCUACAACGCGAUGAGCCCGGAUCAUAGAGGUUGAUUCACGUGUCCUUGGAUCGUCCUUUAAGGUCUUCUAACGCUCCGAACUCGCGGUGGAUCGAACUACAAAUGAGCACGAUCUCAAAUCCACCGUUCAAGUCCCUCUAGAAUAAUAGGUUAAUGGAGGAUAUGGUUUCUCUCUUUUGUUUUUUUUAUUCUCUCUCUUUUUCCGUUCGGUACAUUAUGUUAUGUGGGAUCGCCCGCAAAUUUAUAAGGGAUUCCAAAAUCCUAAUAGCGUAAGAGAUAAGGCCAAAUCGGUUAUUAACUGUUAUCCUAAUAUGAUUAGAAUUCAUCUCUAAUUAGCUUUCCAAUUUAAAAGCGAGAUUAACCCUAAUCCAAUUAGAUAACAUAAUAACCGUCGGAUCGAGCCCGAUUAUGGGCGUACCCGAUUCGAUUUAACCGAAUGCCAACAGGUAUGACUUUCUUCCCAUGAAUGUUGCACGUCCUGUUCGAUAGACCCUAGAUUUAUGAUAUGAAUGUCACCUAUUAUGGUCGAAGAAACACUCACUACUUUAUUCACAAAGGGAAGAAAGUCUCUCUAAUUCUCAGUAAGCUAGGCCUCUCUUAGAACUCGUAAGAACACAUCACGAUCAUCUAAGGGAACCCUAUAGUGGAAUUCAUCUGGUGCGCCUAUAGUCGAGACAGCCAAACCUCUCCACAUUCUUAAUAAGAAAAGUUUUUGCAGAGAAGUUGGGACAGGCCUUGUGUAUGCCCUAAUCACUAGAGAGGUUCCCAAGACCCCCACGCACCUGAGAUACCUUCGAUCCUUAGAAACCUCCUAAUAAGUUACCUGAUGAGCUUCCACCCUUAAGAGAUGAACCUGAAAGAGAGCAUGCCGAGUUGAAAUAGCAAGUCGACGAACUAGUUAGGAAGAAAUUCAUUCGAGAAAGUGUGAGCCCAUGUGCUGUCCCAACACUGCUUUCUAGAUUUAUACACGUCACAAUUUCCAAAUAUUUGGUUUGAUGAUGGGCCAGUGCUAGAAGCUUUGACUUGAGUAUGAGUUUGAUUCAGAUUCGGUUAAUUGAUUUUGCAAAAAUUAGGGCUAGGGCUAUCUAAGUAAUUUUCUAUAUUUAUUAGAUUAGGAUUUUUAUUUCUAACUUUUUAGAAUGUCAAUCCUUUUUAUAACUCUAUUUUGAGUUUUACUUUGAGACUUUAUUUAAUUUCUUUUAUUAGAAUUCCUAGUCGUAGUCCUAGUCGUUUUGAUGCUUAUUCUAUAAACAAAGGUUAAUGCAUGCGCCCAUUAAAGAGAUUCAGUUAUUAAAAUUCUUCAAAAAUUUCUCUUGCCUUUGCGAAAGUAUUGAUUGAAGAGAGUCCGGAAUGGGAGUGAGUCCCAUUAAUUAUCUUUCCUUUUUGGUUCUCUUCUUGUUCCUAUUUAUAUAUUAGCUGUUGGAUGUACUAUGAGAGAAGAACUAUUCAAAUUUAUUUAUCUACGAGGGGCUCGCAACAACCAUCUACGCUGAGAUUGCAAUUCGAGCCUCCCACGGGUACGUGCUGUCAUCGAAUCCUUCGGCUUCUUUAUUCUUUUCUAUGACUAACUUUUCUGCGGCUAACCCUAAACCAUAGUUUCUUUUAAUUCUCUUUUAUUUAUUUUGUUGCUUUCUAACCCUAACCCUAACACUCUUUCUCUAUAUGAGAAGUUCAAACAAAGCGGCCAAGGAUUAACAGUCGACAAAAAUUUGAAUUGGUUCAUCCGUGUGCGUGCAAUUGAAAUGAUUCUGCGGGAACUUGAAAUGUGUGAUUUUUCCUUAACCACCCUUUUAUUUAGAUCCCCGAAUUCUCUAAUUUUGUUGCUUAUUUUGUUUUAGUUUAAUUUCUAAGAAUCGUCUCAAUUAGAAGAAAGUUAUUGGUAUUUCGUGACUUUACCCAAUAAAGAAAUCCUAAAGGUUGUCAUUGUUGGGAAACCGAUAUUCGCCCUGGUACAGGAUUUGAGAAUCUGUAACCCGUUCCGAUACCGAUUGAUAUGGAUCCGGUACCAAUUGUUAGGAUUCCGCAACGGAAGCGUCGAAUCGGGUUUUUACCAUAAACCCGUAUCCUCAACAAAAGUUGAUAUAAUCACAAAAGAGAGAAAAACCAAAAUAGAAAAUAUGCGGGUAAAAUAAGAUUCAUUAAAUAAGAGAAGAUUACACUUGACCCCUUCUGCAACUGAGUAGCUACAACCAAGCCCUCUUUCUGAAUCUUUUCUACCUUUCUCUCGUCUUCUAUAAACCCACAUAAAAGACAACCCUCUCUAUUUCUCUCUCAAUGUACUCGUGCACUACUUGCAUGCAACCAUUAGUUUCUCUCUCCUGGUACGGUUUCACCAAAGAAGACAUUCUCUCUCACCGUACUCUCUCCUCCAAAAGCAUACCAAAGAAUGCAUUUAUAAUGCAUUCUCUAAGACGUAGGCGAAUCCUAAUCUAAUUAGGAUUCCUACUCCAAUUAACAUUUAAAUCUAUAUAUCAUUUAUCUUCAAUAGAUUUAAAUAUUUAUCCUAAUCUAAUUAGAUUUAUACUCUAAUUAAUAUUUAAAUCUUAAUUUAUCUUCAACAAAUUUAAAUAUUAAUUCUUAUCGAACUAGAAUUAAUCUACAAAUCUAAUCAAAUCCUAACCGUCAUGUCUAGAAUAACAAAUAACAAAACAUACUAAUAACACGAACAGAGAAACAAGUUGAGGAAGAGGCAUCAAACAUGACAAAAAGAAUAGGUAAAGGAAAAAAAAAAACUCUUCAAUAAAUUUCCCAUCAGAACAACGCUCAAAGAUGGUAACUAAAAUAAGGAGUCCAGCUACUAUGCUAUUAAUAGCACGAAGCACUUGGUGCUACCAAGUUUUUCGGCGUUAGAUCUACCCUUUUGAUUAUUUUCACCCGUUAGAUCAUACUAUUCAACCAACCACCCACUCAACCUUAGGGGGCCCACAUCAUCCUAACCGCACAUCUUUUAAUCCAAUGGCCAAAAACUUGGUAGCACCAAUGACUUGGUGCUAUUAAUAGUAUAUUAGCCUAGUUCCUAAAAUAAUUAUCUUAUUCAGAUACCAAGUUAGCCACCCUACGGACCUGGUCAAGCAUAUGAUCUCCAAUCUUUUCAAUCUAUAUUCAAAUAUCAUUACUGAUAAUCUAGUAGUCAAAAGAAAUCAUGGUGAGUUAACAUGAUAGCGGCAUCAAUUUUACACCCAAUCAAACUCUUAUAUCUCAUGAUCGAUCACCAACUUAAAGCACAAACAACAGUUCUUUAUAUGGUCAUUUGGUCCACAUUCACUUAUCAAUGCUCAUAAACCAUCAAAACUAAAUUAUCAAGGCAAAAACAAGAUAACUAACCUGUGUGAAGGCAUACAAUAACGACCCAACUCUAGCAGCCAUCCUCGAUUCCACGAAAGAACUUUUGAACUCCUACCUCUUCAUCACAUCCCAUUCGGCACCGCCUGCCUCUUCUCCGGCUCAUAAUAUUCUAGUGCAUUGCAACCAGCUCCUCCAUCAUCAGCCCUUGAGUCCUCACAGUAACCUCCGAAAGAAAUGCUACAAAAUUGAAAAAGUCAAAUCACCAUUCAAAAUCGGCAAAGCUGAGAAAGACUUCGCAAAACCAAAUUGCCAAAGAAAAAUUUAUAUACCCAGGUCAGUAAUUUCUAGGAUAACUUUUAAAAAAGUCUGAUAGUGCCUUACAUUUUAUCUUCUCAAAAAAGAUCCUUAGUUUUGAGUUAUUCUUUCAAGAAAGCUUCUACUAAUCAACGUUUAGGAGAGUUUCAGUGUGAAACAACCGUUGUACUCUAAAAGCUUAAGCGGUUAGAGAACGGUGUUUAAAUAUUUUUAUAUUUAACACUCCUCCUCACGUCUGUGCUCGAGACUUUUUUAGUCGGCCCAUGACGUGGGCUUAAAUUAAAUGGGAGAAAAUUAAUAUGCUAGGAGCCUGGCGUGACUCGAACUCAGGACCUCCUUCUUUGAUACCAUGUGAAACAACCGUUGUACUUUAAAAGAUUAAGCUGUUAGAGAACGAUAUUUAAACAUUUUUAUAUUUAACAUUCAGAAUAUUCUAAUAUAUUUUUUAAGCCAAUUUUUCCAUUUAGUAAAAUUUUACCUUUUGAACAUGAAAUUUACAAGGAUGGAGUGUAAUGGGACAAGAAUAAAUUCAUGACAAAAUGAUGUGUAUAUGAUGUCUACUGGGAGAAAGGGGUUGGGAUUGUCAGUUAACUCUUCUUAAAUUCCCCUAAAACAUGACAAGAAAGACUUUUUUUGAAACAAAAAUCAAAAUCACAUGAAUAAAAAUUAGAAACUUCCGCAAAAUUACCUAUCUUUGUUGCUACCUUUGCAGCUUUGCGGAGAAUUUAGGAAUGUAUAUAUAGAUGAUUUUUACAGAGAAAAGGGCUAAAAUUGUUCAUUAGAUAUUCUUAAAUUCAUCUAAAAAAUGAUAAGGACUUUUUUGAAAGAAAUUCAAAAUCGCUGAGAUAAAAAAAAGUUAGUUAAAAGUUUUCAUUAAAUUAUCUAAAAAUUGAGUGAUUUGCAUACCAUUUAAAAUACCGAGUGCCAAAAUUUCAUUUAUCUUUCUGCUAGCUUUGCAGACAACAAAGUGUACAUGAAGUUUACAAAUUACAAUGGUAAGGGGCUAAAAUUGAUCGUUAAAUGUUAUUAAAUUUACCUAAGACUUGCUAAGGACUCUUUUAAAACAAAUUUAAAAAGCUAGGAUAAAAAGUUAGGAUUUUUCUUGAAAGGUUAAACUAUAUGGAACUUACUUGAACUAUGACCCAUUUUGAUUCAACUGUUUAACUUUUUAGAAAUUUUGAUUGUAGUAUCUCGGCUUUCAAUUUCUCUUAUUUGAGUUAUUUGAUGAUACUUCUUUUACAGAAUUUGGAGUUAUUUGAUGAUACUUCUUUUACAGAAUUUGGAUGUAUUGCUUGCUUUAAUAAGGCCACGCAAAUCACCUAAUAUACUUUAGUUAAAGUGGGUAAAAUAAACGGCACAUUCUUUUUUGGCUAAAUUAUAGAAAACCCUCCAGUCAAAACCCGAUUUUUCACUUCCCACCCCCGUCAUUUAAAAACCUACACUUUGUUCCCUUAUAAAAUAAAAAAUGUUCACUUCACCCCUGCCGUUAGUGAUCCGUUAGGGUUCCGUUUAUAAAAUAUUAUUAUAUAUUCUUCUCUGUUAAUAUUUUGUUAAAUUCUAUACAAAAAAACUUCAAAUACCCUACUUAGAUUUAUUGAAUAUUCUCUUUAGUACCCUUUAGUUUUAACUUUGUCAUUGAUUUAACGAAAAAAAUUAGUGGAAUCGAUGAUAAAAAGAUAAAAAUGAAACCACAUGACACUAAGUUGAUAAACUUUAAACUACAGGAUACUAAAGUGAGAAAGUAUGAAACCACAGGGGUGGUAUUUGAAGUUUUCUCUUUAAGAAAUCAAGUUGUCCAUCUUAAUCUCCUACCCUUUAAUUAGGGUUUUUAAGGGUCAAAAGAUUUUUUAACGCUUCCAUGACAAAAGCCCUCUUUUCACCUAGGGUUUCUCAAAAAUAAAGUAAAAUCCCAAAUCUUUUGGUAAAUCUUCACCAUUUGUGGCUUAGAUUCGCCUUUGCUAAAAUUCCAAAAUCAAGCUUAAAAUCCAAAGCCCCUGCUCAAAACUCUAAGAACUCACCUCUAUCCCAAGUUUCUCAAGCUCUUUCUUGCUCCAAAAAGCCUUCUGGUCACUUCCCAAGUUUUCUCCUAGAUCAAUCCUUAAUCUCUUGCAAGGUUUAGAGAGUUUUAGAGAGAUAAAGAGGAGAAGAGAGUGUGCGAGAGUGACAGAAAGUGUUUUGGAGUGAGGAAGAAGAAGAGCUUCAGUGCUCUUUAAGCUAGACCUAGUAAAAUACCAAAAUGCCCUCAAAUUGGGCACUUUGCGAGCUCAGGGUGUAGAUCCUGCAUUCGAGGUCCGGACCCUGUACCAAGGUCACGCAUUAUGCAGGCAAGGUUCGAACCCUACCUCAGGAUCGGGAACCCGUAAGCAAUUCCUACGUUUUUUGCAGCCAAGGUCCGAACUUUGAUACUUUGGAUCGUAUCAAGGUCUGGAUCCUCAAGCUAAGGUCCGGACCCUGAGAGUCCAGUAGCUGAAAAUUAAAAUUUUCGAAAAUAUCCAUUUUCACUCCUUGAAGCUCUAGUCCACAUCUAAUUGUUCUGAAACCUUUGGAACUCAUUUCCAAAUGUGUCUAAAUCACUUUCCACCGUACUUUACCCAAUUUGGCUAAAGUUCAGUAUAGUAUACCGAAUUUCAGUACACUACAGAACUAGUAUUAUUAAAUAUGUACAAUAUAACAAGUAGUAUAAUUGUAGUGUUUCUGAGCUUUGGAUAGGAUUGACUUCAGUAUUAGUAACUGGUCGACACAUCUGGAGAGUGUCGGACUGAGUCGGAGUCGUUUCUGUACGAAUUGGAUGCAGAAAUGGACUCGGCGCACUCAAUUAAGCAAAACUGGAGUUUUGCCAGAUUCGGGCGCCCAGAACACGGUUUAGGUCGCCCAAAACUGAGUGUUGAAUUUAACUAAAACUGGAAGCCAAUUCGGAUCCUAUGUUCCGGGAGCCCAGAAGUGAGUCCGGAAAUUUUACAUCGUGAAUAUCGUUUGUGUUGACACGUGGCGGGUGGUAGGUGAGGUCCGCCGGAGCUGUUUACGGGCACAGCACACCGCGAGCGGAGAGUCCGAGGAGGAAGAUUUGUGAAGCCUGGAGGUUUCGGGCGCUCAGAAUUGGGUUUCGGGCGCCCAGAAAUGCCCGUUUCUGCAGGGACACCAGGUUAGCAGCUUUUGAACCUGGGGCUUAUUUUAUCCUUUCAGCACCCUAUAAAUAGGGGGAGCAUGACCUCAGUGAAGCCUUUUCAUCCAUUCUUCACAGUGAACCCUUAAAUUGCAUUUCCAACCCCCAAAUCUACUCAAAUUGCUUCAAGAUCCACAACUCCAAGCUUGAUAGGUGCUGAUUCUGCAGUUCUUCAGCGACGACCUCCAGUGUUUUGGCUCGUACACGAUGUAGGAAGGUCGGAUCGCGGUGAAACUUGGUUGGCUGGAUUCUAGACUUCCAGAGGAAUCCAUGAAGCCCUGAAUUGCAGAUUUUGGUUGAGGUUAGCUUGGUCGAACUGAGAUUUUUCUGGAAUACUAUUGACAUUGAGCUGAAAAUGAGAUUUUUGAGCUUUUCUUGAUGCUAUCUUUGUAGGCAGUGGGAUUUUGGACUUGAGACACAUUCUCCAUUAUUAUUCACUGGAUUUGAGACCUUCCUCACCUGAUUUGGAGGUAAUUGGGUGAGUUUUGACAUUACGAUAGGGAUUAAAUUAAGCUUUAGUGCUGAAAUUGUGAUAAUUGAUGGAAUUCAAUGUGUAGAGCUUGGAGAUAGCUUGAUUACUGGUCUUGGAGGAUUUCGGUUGAUCUAGCAGGGAUUAGCAUUGGUUCGGGACCUUCUUUACUGACAGGUUUAGUAAUUAAGGUGGGUGUAUCAUCGAUUUUUACUUCUAAGUACAUGUUAGUCGACGUGUAUGAUUUGCGGCUAUUGUUAUCUUGUUGUAGCUCAAAUUCAUCGAUGAGUAUGAUAUAAAAAUCUGAAUUUGGAGCAUGCUUAGUAAUUAGAUAAAUUAUACAUGUCGGACUUGGAACUUGACUUAGGAGAGAACCAGUGUUUUGACCCGUCAUAUGCUUCUACUACCUGAUUUAGCUCUAAGAGCCGUGGUUUGAUUGUAUCACCGCUGUUUCAGCGCGGUGGAUACCCGGGAUAGUUUAGAAUGCAUUUACGCUCGUGCUGGGACGCCGAGCUUAUUUUUACAGCAGAGUCUAGACUGUUUCCGGUUGUCGGGUGCCGUUGGGGUGGACGGUGGACCCAGAUCCCUGUUUUUUGAUAUCAGAUUGUGCCGAGAGCACGUGGGUUCGGUUUCUAGACCUGUUUUGACCAUAGUUAUUUAUCUUUGGCUGGUUAGAGCCUGAUUGAGCUUGACAGAGAUACGCUUGCAUACUCGAUUGUGUAGCGCCCACGAGUGCCACUCCGGAGUUCGGCUUAGUGCUUUUGCGUUGUUGCCGUUCGUGCAGGUUGGACUUGCUCUCCACAGACUUGUUAGUGUGGAGGUAGCUGGUUAGUUGCAACCUGGCGGGACGUGUGUGUUCAUAGUCCCAGGGACGGGUAUGAUUACAGUUCCUAUUCGAGAUUUGGUCUAAGUUUGCACUGUUCUACAGUUGGUUAGAUUAUAGCCUGAUAGUAUAGAGGCAGAUAGCCGUAGAUAUGUUCCAGCUUUCCUUACUAUUUCUUGCUUACCCCUGUAGACUUAUUGGGUGGACCGAUGAGUUCAGGGCGGUACCCAUUGAGGACUACUUCUUUUUGUAGUAGUUCUCGCGCCCAGUUUGUUUCCACUGUUUUGCAGAGCCAUCGUCUUCGGCUGCUGCUGUCGCUCAUAUUGAUCGUGGCAAGGGCGUCGCGAGUUAGAGCCCUUCCAAUCGAGUUGCUGAGCUAGUAGAGGGCCGCUGCAGGUAGUGUAGUGUUGGUUUAUAUAUACAGAUGUUGUACUCUCGCCAGUGCGAGUGCUUUUGUAUCUUGGAUCUUAUGUAUAUAUAGAACCACAGUUUAUAUAUGCAUGUUUUAUUCUUCUCUCCUAGCUGCUCUAUACUACUGUCUGUAGUAUUGUAUGAUUAUAGGUACUUUUACUUUCGCUUCGUAUACAGAGAAAAUACCAAUGUAUAAGGCGGGUCUGUUAGCGAGCCCGGGGAAACGAGUAAUCCGGGGCGUGACAGAUUAAGUUGGUAUCAGAGCUUAGCUGUAGGUCGUUGGGAUCUAGGAACCCUAAGUCUGGCAAACCUUAGGAAGGCAAGACGUGAGAGGGGUGAUUUAUCACGAAAGUCAAUAAUUCGUUAUUCUAACUCCUCCUAGAGUGGAGUGAGUGAUUGGAGGAGUUCCUGUUUUGGUCUGAGAAAUUAUGUUGGCUGCAGACGACAUCAUUUUGAGGAGAAACAAGAGCCGCCUUCUAGACUUUCGUUUGAUUGGGUCGAGAGUGUUUUUAUUGUAUCUGACCUCUGUUUUGUUCUUUACAGCUAUGUAUCGUCGCCGAGGUUGACCGUCGCUCAGAGAUCGUGCCGCACCGCCUGAGAUGCCCGAGCAGGUAGAGCCGAGUGCACCACCUGAGGCGAGUGCACCCCCUGCUGUGGAGCAUAGGGCCCGACCCGAGGUGGGUGUACCUCCUGAUUUGAGUCCGCAGAUAACCGCCCUGACUGAGGUGAUGAGGCAGCAGGGGGAGUUGCUACAGAGGAUGUGCGAGAGGUUAGCUCCGUCACUGAGUACAGUACCAAGAGCACCUGAGCAGGCCGUUUCACCUUCGACUACUCCAGUGACCGCACCAGCCGCAGCUAUGCUCCCACCAGUGGAGCUCCCUACAGUGCCAGUUGCGCCCGCUAGGGGAUCAGUACAGUUGAUUGAGGCCGAGUAGGAGCGAAUGACUGAGCGGUUGGCUCAUUUUCGCCAUUUUGAUCCACCAACCUUCGACGACGGUUGCAUUGAGGCCUGGGUUGUUGAGGGCUGGGUCAGUGCGAUGGAGAAGCUGUUCGAGGAUCUAUUCGUGCCUGAGAGGGAGCAGGUGUCUUUGGGAGUACACUGCUUAACUGGCGAUGCUCACGCCUGGUGGAGGAGAGUGAGGCGAGGCUAUGGAUUAGUGGCGUUGCAGCUGAAGUGGGACGAGUUCUGUGGAAUGCUGUUCGGGAUGUAUUUUCCCAACAGCAUGAAACAGAAGCUCGAGGAGGAUCUGAAGAGGAUUCAACAGGGCGAGCGUACAGUCCAGGAGUAAAUUUGGGAGUUCACUCGACUCCUGAACUGUGUACCGUUCGUGGCCAGGGAUGAGGCGCAUAGAGUCUAUCUAUUCGAGUAGGGAUUGAGACCCGAGAUCUUUCGAUUGGUGCAGGCGCAGAGGUUGAGGACCUUGGACGCGUCGAUGGAGCAUGCUCUUUGGGUAGAGAGAGGUGAUGCCUCCAUUUGGGAGAGGACUCAGGCCAUGUGGCAGAGUCAGGACAGAAAGCGUCCCUUUUUAGAUAAUGCUGGACAAUCGAGCAGCAGUCGUCCGUGGAGACCACCACGAUCACGCUCUCAGGGUCGUGGGUUUUCGGGGCGUCAGUGUUCCAGAGGAUCCUGUCAACAGGGACAGACCGAGAGGACACCGCAGUGUGUGAUUUGCGGGGGACCACAUUGGCCCCGACAGUGCGAGCAGAGAGAAGGCCGUUGCUACACUUGCGGUCAACCCGGGCAUAUGAGGUCAGCUUGUCCUCGUGCAGCAUCACCAGCACCAUCCAUUGCAUCAGCGCAGCCGGCAUCCCAGCAGUCCUUUGGAGCAGCACCGAGUUUCCGCCAGGAGGACAUAUCGUUUGUGCCGCGUCAGGCUGAGCGGCGACAACGGGCUCCGAGUGGCAGAGUUUACGCAGCUCAAGUGGAGGAUUCUUUAGCAGCCGACCGAGUGGUGGCAGGUAUCAUUUUGAUUUCAGGCAUUCGUACUCGUACUCUUUUUGAUACUCGUGACUCGCAUUCUUUUGUUAGCCGAGCAUUUGCAUUGUUGCAUGGUCUAGAGUUAGGGUCUUUGUCAGAGACACGAGAGGUGGAGAUCCCCGACCAUGUUUUACAGGUUGCAGAGUGUUGUUGGUCAUGUUAGGUGCAGUUAGAUUCUUAGAUCAUGCCCGCAGACCUGUUGGUGUUAGGGCAGCUGCAGGACUUUGAUGUAGUGCUAGGUAUGGAUUGGCUGGCGCGGUACUAUGCUACUAUCGACUGUGGAGAGAUAACUGUGACGUUCCGCGAGCCAGGCAAGGAGAAGUUCACUUUCAGAGGCUGCAGGAGUACUUUGUUUGCCACUUGGAUAUCUUCGGCGAGGGCUCGACAACUGAUGAGUAAAGGAUGCGUUGCUUUUCUGGCGACUGUGACAGAGGUGCCUACGGCGGCGCCGGGACUCGAGGAUAUCCCUAUAGUCCGCGAGUUUCCGGACGUGUUUUCCCCGGAGUUGACGACGAUGCCACCGGAGAGGGAGAUAGAGUUUGUGAUUGAUGUAGUUCCUGGAACUGCACCAAUCUCAAAGGCACCUUACAGGAUGGCACCGGCAGAGCUGAGAAAGCUAAAGGCGCAGCUUCAGGAUUUGAUGGAUAAGGGGUUUGUGAGACCCAGUGUGUCGCCUUGGGGAGCGCCGGUAUUGUUUGUAAAGAAGAAGGAUAGUUCGCUCAGGUUGUGUGUAGAUUAUCAGGAGCUAAAUAAGGUGACCAUCAAGAAUAAGUAUUCUUUGCCGCGCAUUGAUGAUCUGUUUAAUCAGCUGUAAGGAUCUUAUGUCUUCUCAAAGAUUGACCUCCAGUCAGGUUACCACCAGUUGAGGGUGAGGGCCGAGGAAGUUUCCAAGACGGCUUUUCGGACUCGGUACGGGCAUUAUGAGUUUACGGUGAUGCCGUUUGGAUUGACGAAUGCCUCUGCCGCAUUCAUGGAUUUGAUGAACAGAGUGUUCAAGCCGUUCAUGGAUAGGUUUGUGGUAGUCUUCAUUGAUGAUAUUCUGAUAUACUCCCGGAGCGAUGCCGAGCAUGAGAAGCACUUGAGGUCUGUGCUAUAGCUUCUGCGAGUGAAGAAGUUGUAUGCCAAGUUAAAGAAGUGCAAGUUCUGGUUGCGGGAGGUUACUUUCUUGGGCCACGUGAUAUCUGCGGUUGGAGUGGCAGUGGACCCGAAGAAGAUUGAUGCUAUUUGGGAUUGGCCGAGACCGACGACGGUGACAGAGGUGAGGAGUUUCCUUGGGCUUGCUGGUUAUUAUCGUCGGUUUGUGGAAGGCUUUGCGAAGCUUUCCACACCACUCACUCGACUGACUCGUAAAGGAAUUAAAUUCAUUUGGAGUGAGGACUGUCAGAGGAGCUUUGAUGAGUUGAGACAGAGGUUGACGUCACUUCCUAUCCUUGUCCUUCUUGUGAUGGGGGAAGGAUUUGUGAUCUACAGUGAUGCAUCGCACAGCGGGUUGGGCUGUGUAAUGAUGCAGCAUGGUAGGGUAAUUGCUUAUACUUUACGGCAGUUAAAGGAUUACGAGAACAAUUACCCUACCCAUGACUUAGAGCUUGCCGCGAUAGUCUUUGCUUUAAAGUUGUGGCAGCAUUACUUGUAUGGCGAGCACUGCGAGGUUUUCACCGAUCAUAAAAGUCUCAAGUAUCUGUUCACCCAGAGGGAGUUGAACCUGAGGCAGCGCCGGUGGUUGGAGUUAUUGAAGGACUAUGACAUUAAUAUUCAGUAUCAAAUGUGGUGGCAGAUGCGUUGAGCAGGAGGGCAGUGCAGAGCUUGAACAUGUCGGUCACUCAGCAGGGGCCGUUACUCAAGGAGCUGCAGCGGCUUAGGCUCAAGAUAGUGUCCCCUGGAUCUACUGCGAGACUGAUGUCUGUGGUUUUGCAGCCCACUCUGUUGGAUAGGAUCCGACAGAAACAGAGUGGAGAUCCACACUUGUCGAGGAUUCGAGAGCGGUCUGAGAGGGGACAUACUGAGGGCUUUGUUGUGGACAGUUCGGGAGUACUGCGGUACAGGGACCGACUGUGUGUACCUAUAGAUUCAGAGAUCCGAGAGGACAUUUUGAGAGAGGCUCACUGUUCACCUUAUACGGUUCACCCUGGUGGAACCAAGAUGUAUAAGGACUUAAAGGCCCAGUUUUGGUGGAAUGGAAUGAAGAGGGACAUUGACAGAUUUGUGGCUCAGUGUCUGACUUGUCAACAGGUAAAGGCUGAGCAUCAGGUACCUGCUGGCAAUUUUCAGAGUCUGUCAGUGCCCGAGUGGAAAUGGGAGCAGAUCACGAUGGACUUUGUCGUGGGGUUGCCUAGAGCUCAGGGUGGUUUCGAUGCUAUUUGGGUGAUAGUGGACAGACUGACUAAGUCUGCUCACUUCCUACCAGUUCAGACCACAUGGUCCAGGGAGAUGCUCGCUCAACUAUAUCUAGAUGAGAUAGUGAGGUUGCAUGGUGUGCCCACUUCGAUAGUAUCAGAUCGAAACCUGAGGUUCGUCUCGUACUUUUGGAGGAGUCUUCAUAUGGCCUUGGGCACUCAAUUGCAAUUCAGCACAGCGUUUCACCCACAGACAGAUGGUCAGUCAGAGCGGACCAUUCAGACUCUUGAGGACAUGCUGAGGGCAUGUGUCCUGUACUUUGGAGGAGGGUGGUAUCGACAUUUGAGAGUUGCUGAGAUUGCGUACAACAACAGCUAUCAAGCGAGCAUCCAGAUGGCUCCGUUUGAGGCGUUGUAUGGACGCAGAUGUCGAUCCCCUUUGUUUUGGAGCGAUGUGGGUGAGAGAAAAACGCUUGGGCCUGAGAUUCUAAUUGAGGCUGAGGAAAAGGUGAAAGUGGUGCGACGGCACAUUUUAGCAGGCCAGAGUCGGCGGAGGAGCUGUGCUGAUACCCGGAGAUGAGACUUGGAGUUUCAGGUGGGAGAUCAUGUGUUUCUUAAAGUCUCUCGUCUAGAGGAAUUUGCAGAUUUGGAGUACGUGGAAAGCUCAGUCCACGUUUUAUAGGCCCUUUUGAGGUAUUGGAGCGAGUCGGGCCAGUUCCUUAUAGGAUUGCUCUAUCUCCACGACUAGCCGGCAUCCACGAUGUUUUCCACGUCUCGGCCUUGAGGAGAUAUGUGUUCGACCCCUUCCACGUGAUAGACUUCACUCCGCUAGAGAUUUGCAAGGACUUGAGAUACGAGGAGCGACCGGUGUGGAUUUUGGCUCGUGAGUCAAGGGAAUUGCGCAACCGGGUCAUACCCUUUGUAAAGGUGCAGUGGAGUAAUCACGAGGAGCGGGAGGCGACUUGGGAUCCAGAGACGGUGAUGAGAGAGUCCUACCCCUACUUUUUUGAGGCUCAGGAUUGAGGUAUGUUUCAGUUUCGCGGACGAAAUAUUUUGUAAUAGGGGAGGAUGUAGUGUUUCUGAGCUUUGGAUAGGAUUGGCUUCAGUAUUAGUGAUUGGUCGACACAUCUGGAGAGUGUCGGACUGAGUCGGAGUCGUUUCUGUACGAAUUGGAUGCAGAAAUGAACUCAGCGCAUUCAAUUAAGCAAAACUAGAGUUUUGCCAGAUUCGGGCGCCCAGAAUAUGGUUUAGGUCGCCCAGAACUGAGUGCUGAAUUUAACUGAAACUGGAAGCCAAUUCGGAUCCUAUGUUCCGGGCGCCCAGAAGUGAGUCC
rnacentral:lncRNA from 1 species